rnacentral:rRNA from 1 species
GACAGAGGAUGCAAGCGUUAUCCGGAAUGAUUGGGCGUAAAGCGUCUGUAGGUGGCUUUUAAGUCCGCCGUCAAAUCCCAGGGCUCAACCUGGACGGGCGGUGGAAACUACCAAGCUGGAGUACGGUAGGGCAGAGGGAAUUUCCGGUGGAGCGGUGAAAUGCGUAGAGAUCGGAAAGAACACCAACGGCGAAAGCACUCUGCUGGGCCGACACUGACACUGAGAGACGAAAGCUAGGGGAGCGAAUGGG